rnacentral:tRNA from 1 species
GCGGGUGUAGCUCAGUCGGUAGAGCGUCAGCUUCCCAAGCUGAAUGUCACGGGUUCGAGUCUCGUUACCCGCUCCA